GACGAACGCUGGCGGCGUGCUUAACACAUGCAAGUCGAACGGAAAGGCCCUGCUUUUGUGGGGUGCUCGAGUGGCGAACGGGUGAGUAACACGUGAGUAACCUGCCCUUGACUUUGGGAUAACUUCAGGAAACUGGGGCUAAUACCGGAUAGGAGCUCCUGCUGCAUGGUGGGGGUUGGAAAGUUUCGGCGGUUGGGGAUGGACUCGCGGCUGAUCAGCUUGUUGGUGGGGUAGUGGCUUACCAAGGCUUUGACGGGUAGCCGGCCUGAGAGGGUGACCGGCCACAUUGGGACUGAGAUACGGACCAGACUCCUACGGGAGGCAGCAGUGGGGAAUAUUGCACAGUGGGCGGAAGCCUGAUGCAGCAACGCCGCGUGCGGGAUGACGGCCUUCGGGUUGUAAACCGCUUUCGCCUGUGACGAAGCGUGAGUGACGGUAAUGGGUAAAGAAGCACCGGCUAACUACGUG
rnacentral:rRNA from 1 species